AUGUUAAUAAACAGUCUAAAACAAGAGAANUAUGUACACAUUUUAGUUAUUGUGAUUUUUGGAAGAAAAAGUUUUAUUUUUUUUAUUUUUUUUUUUCAUACACUGAUUUUCAUUUUACAUAUAUUCUAUAUGUUAAAUGUAAAAGGGAAGCUGAAACUGUCUUGUGUUAAGUACUGUCUAUUGCUGAAUGAGUUCGGGACUCUUAUUUUGAAAAUGAGGAUUCGUAUAGAGGAGCGUGUUGCGCCCUCACAAUUGCUGGGGAUUAUGUACGACACAGACACGUUUGCUCCUGUCUCCUCAAUUUUUCCUGUGUUUACAGACUAAUGAAAUUGAAGUAUCCAAAUGAAGACCCUAGCGGAUACAGACGUUGCCAGCAAUCAGGAGGUGAUCCAGAAGACUCGUGGGAAUCUAUAUGAAGGUGCAUCAUUGAAGACAGUCCAGCAGAUGUUGAAGUGUUGGAAGAUAAAGUUCUUCAGGACCUUAGCAGUUUACAGCAUGCAAAACCAUGUUGCUGGGACAGAUAUAUGCACUAAACUUGAGCAACCCUCCUGAACUCAGGUACACAUUUGGAGUACUGAAGUUGUUGUUUCUGGAGCCAGUUCCUGUUCCUGGAAUAAGGUUUGAUUGGUUACCCAUGAAUGCCAAUUAGAAAAUGAGAGUAGUUUGAUAUUUCUGCUAUUUUGUGUCAUUUUGUAAUGUGGUUUCAGCUGUAUUUAACUGUGUGUAAUUAUUUAAUGCUUGUUUAACAAAUACACUUUGAUCAUUUGUGAUAUCUUGUCUUUUGACUCAUUACAAGACAAAUCACACAAAAAAUGCUUUGUUGACGGGAGUAACUUUAAAUAGAAAACAUUUAAAGUAACUAGAACUAAUUGGAUAGAACCACUGUCCAAAAAUUAAAUGAUUAAUUUGAAACAAACCUCCUGAUGUUGAUAGAGUGAAACUAAUUUGGCUAGAUUGUAAUAAACCAAAACAUGUUCAGUUAACUUAACCGGUU
ensembl:lncRNA